ensembl:lncRNA uncharacterized LOC107214140
UCAGCACCCGCUUCUCUGCGCCCGCCUCCCCCGCGCGGGCCAAUCAGCGCGCGCGCAGCGGCCCAGCCAAUCGCAGCACAGCCGUUGGGGUGUGGGGGGGGAGGCCGUAACGACCCCUCGGGCCGCCCCCGCCCCGCGUCCCCUCACGGGCCGCCGCCUCCCCCCCGCCGCGCUCCCCGCGCACUCACCGGGGCGGCCGGCGCCGCGACCUCCGCCUGCUCCGCCCGCUGCCCGCGCUGCCUCCGGCGCGGCCUGCGGGAGGCGGGGGGGGAAAAGGGGGGCGGCCGAAGCGGAGUGAGCGCCGAGCGGCCGAGAAACAAGAUGGCGGCAGGGCCGUGAGGCGUCGGGGCGGAGGCUCCGCCCUUUUUUGUCCCCCCCCUUCCCCUCCUCGGGCUGGGCCGCGGCGGCGCGCGCGGGCGCGUGACCCAGCGGGGAUCUCGCGAGAGUGGAGACUGGAAGCAGCUGAUAAUCAGAAGAAAAACCCCAAAAGCAGCCCUAAAGGAAGGGGAAGCAAAGGCUGCCUUGACAUUCCCCUCAAAUCCAUCAGUUCUGGAACAACAUCCAACUGGAGUAAUGAGGAAAAAUAGGAAAAGUUUGUAUUUUCAUGGGGGGUGGAUUUCUACUCCUUUUAAGCUUUUCCUUGAAGCCACAGAGGGCUGGAGCUCCACCAGGAGCUGCUGCCUUAUUCCCAGCCCCUCAUCUGGGAAUUGCCAUCUCCUUUCCUGCAGGGAUUCCAUCCCAAAGAUUCUCCAGGUGCCUGCCUGGAUCCUCCAAGAUCCCUUCCCCAUGUGACAGUUUCAUCCUGUGGAUCCUCACAAUUCCAUGGAGGAACCUAAGGAAUUUAUUCCCACCCCUGGAUGGAUUUCUGUUGUUAUCCAUGCACCGAGGACGACGAUCCAUCCCCACAAUUCCCUGGAAAACGCCCCAUUUAUUAAUUAAUUACCGAGCACUGCUGCUCCUGCUGCUGCCAGGCCCAGCUGUCCCAGCACCCAGCUUGGAUGCAGCUCCUCUCCAGGGAUUUCUGGACAAUCCCCCCUUGCUCCUCCUCCCGCCGGAUCCUUUUGUGCGGCUCCGUUUCCUCCCCACCUGCUCCCUUUUCCAGCCGCAAUGGAUCCAUUGUCUGGAGCUGCUCGGCUUUUCCCACAGGGAUUGCAGCUCCACAGAGCUCCCUGUCAGCCUGCCCGGAACGUGGAGGAGCCAAGGAAAACAUGAAACAGGGAAGGGAAGAAAAAAAAAAAAAAAAGGAAAGGAGAAAGUGCUUUUGCAGGAAUUUGGUGGCGCUCUGAUGAGUUUGGAUUUACCCAGCACCUUCCAACUGCUCAUCCCAUCCCUCCCAUGCUUCCCACUGCACCCCAGACCUAGAUUUGGGAGCCAAGGAUUCGUCUGGCACCAAGGAAAACCAGCUCGGAGCAGCAGAGACAAGGCUGACCCUUCCCAGCUCAGCCCCUGCCAUCCCCUGGGAUUCCUGUUUCAGCAGGACUCUGGAUUUAUCCCAAACCAGCUGUUGCUUUGGGGCAAUAAUCCACAGGCAUGGGAAAACCUGGAUAUAAAUUCUUUCUGGACAUGGACACACUUGCUUUAUGGAUCUGCAGGAAAAAGAGGCCAUUUAGGGCCAGAUUUGGGGGCCUGA